UGCAUGUUACAGUUCAUACAGUAUUAAUAGUGAGACUGCGGACGGCUCAGUAAAUCAGUUAUAAUCCGUUCGAAAGUAUCCCCAUUGGAUAACCGUGGGAAAUCUAGAGCUAAUACAUGUGUGAAUAGUGUUUGGUGGCUUGCUACCGGACGCUAGCAUUUAUUAGAAGUGACCAACUGUUUGUAGGCGCUGGAAACGGUGUCUGCAAUCAAGGUGAAUCUAGAUAACUGAGCUGAUCGCAUAGCCUAGUGCUGGCGAUGUUUCGAUCGAAUUUCUGCCCUAUCAACUUGUUGGUAAGGUAGAGGCUUACCAAGGUUGCAACGGGUAACGGGGAAUCAGGGUUCGAUUCCGGAGAGGGAGCCUGAGAAACGGCUACCACAUCCAAGGAAGGCAGCAGGCGCGCAAAUUACCCAAUCCAGACAAUGGGAGGUGGUGACCAGAAGUACUGGGCCUGGUGGAUUAUCAGUCUACCAAUCCCGGAAUGAGCAUACAAGUAAAGCAAGUUGAGUCGAGUAACAACUGGAGGGCAAGUCUGGUGCCAGCAGCCGCGGUAAUUCCAGCUCCAGUAGCAUGUCGUCAAAGUUGUUGCGUUUAAAACGCUCGUAGUUGGAUUAUAGCAGUGACGCUGUUGGUUGAGUUGCACAUGUCACCGUGCAAACUAACUGUUCGUGAAUGGAUUGGCGCAUGUUAACUCUGUGUUAAUCGUUGAUGGCAGUGUCGGUAGUGUUGCACGUUUUGUGCACUUCAGCAGCCGUGACGUAGUAAUUGCACGUAAGAAUGGUCGAUUGGCCUUAAGUGCGUUGGUCAGUCGUGUCUUACGGGAUGUGCCUUGAAAAAAUCAAAGUGCUCAAAGCAGGCUGAAAGCCUGAAUGAUGACAGCAUGGAACGAACAAUAGUGUAAAGUGCAUGGGUAGGGACGGUGAUGCUAUUGAGUGCAUUGGCUGUGCCUUGCAUCGACAGUCUACGCGACACCGACCAACCAUCAUAUACGGAUGUUGGUUUCCGUAUUGGGGUAAUGAUUAAGAGGAGCGGUUGGGGGCAUUAGUAUUUGGCAGCGAGAGGUGAAAUUCUUGGACCUGCCAAGGACUAACAAAUGCGAAGGCAUCUGUCCAGACCGUAUCCAUUAAUCAAGAACGAUAGUGAGAGGUUCGAAGACGAUCAGAUACCGUCCUAGUUCUCACCAUAAACGAUGCCGACCCGGAAUGAGCUUGGAGCUUUAUUUGUGCUCGAGGUUGGUUCCCCUGGGAAACCUAAAGUUUUUCGGUUGCGGGGGGAGUAUGGUCGCAAGGCUGAAACUUAAAGGAAUUGACGGAAGGGCACCACCAGGGGUGGAGCCUGCGGCUUAAUUUGACUCAACACGGGAAAACUUACUUGAUCCGGACAUCAGAAGGAUAAACAGACGGCACGAAUCUCUUUUGAUUUGGUGAUUGGUGGUGCAUGGCCGUUCUUAGUUCGUGGAGUGAUCUGUCAGGUUUAUUCCGGUAACGGACGAGACCACUAUCUCCAUUUGACGACUUAGAGAAGGCACCGAUAGUGAUAAAUUUUGGCAACAAGGUUUGUCACUAUUGGUGUUGCAGGCAUAAAAUUGACGGAUGUUGUUGAGCAAUCGAUGCGUCUGUCGAUUUUACUCCCUCUAAGCCGACAGUGCAUGCUUGCAAAGGCAUGUAUUGUAUCAUGGAGAGACAACGGAACAUAUCAAAAUCCGAGGAAGUGUGGCUAUAACAGGUCUGUGAUGCCCUUAGAUGUUCAGGGCUGCACGCGCGCUACAAUGACGAUGACAACGAGUUUCUGGAUUGAAAAAUUCGGGUAACCUUGCAAUCAUCGUCGUGAUGGGGACUGACGUUUGUAAAUACGUCACGAAAGAGGAAUCCCUAGUACACGCGAUUCAUGAAAUUGCGUGGAUUUAGUCCCUGCCCUUUGUACACACCGCCCGUCGCUACUACCGAGUGAAUGGUGUCAUAAUGCCUUGGGAGCGGAUUCUACAUGGGUUUUUGAUCCAUGUGGAACUGCAAUCAGCGUAGAAUGGCGCAA
rnacentral:rRNA from 1 species